rnacentral:rRNA from 1 species
GAUCUUGGUCAGAACGAACGCUGGCGGCGCGUCUUAAGCAUGCAAGUCGAACGGCAAGAGGUAGCAAUACCUCCUAGAGUGGCGGACUGGUGAGUAACACGUGGGUGACAUACCCUUCAGAUGGGGAUAGCUAUUAGAAAUAGUAGAUAAUACCGAAUACGAGCACAGGGGUUAGAGAUCUGUGAGGAAAGGAGCUAAGGCUCCGCUGAAGGAAUGGCCUGCGGCCCAUUAGCUAGUUGGUGAGGUAAGAGCCCACCAAGGCGAUGAUGGGUAUCCGGCCUUAGAGGGUGAACGGACACAUUGGGACUGAGAUACGGCCCAGACUCCUACGGGAGGCAGCAGCUAAGAAUAUUCCGCAAUGGACGAAAGUCUGACGGAGCGACGCCGCGUGGAUGAAGAAGGCCGGAAGGUUGUAAAAUCCUUUUGAAACUGAAGAAUAAGCGUUGUAGGGAAUGACAGCGUGGUGACAGUAGGUUUUGAAUAAGCAACGGCUAAUUACGUGCCAGCAGCCGC